AGGAGUGCCGCAGUACACCCGGGUCUCUGAGGACUGUGGCGAGGAUGUUUUCUUCGACGAGGUGCUGGAGUGGCCGGUGGGGAGGAACGUGGAGCCGGGGGAGGAGGUACAGGUGCAGCUGCAGGUGUUCAACAGGUACUUCACCAACAGGAGUCUCGCCCAGUACGCCUUGAUCCUUCAGCGCCUGGUGGGGGAGGGCGCCGUCUGUGUCACCGAUCACAUGACUGACGCCAAUAACAAGCUCGUCCAGACUCUGAUAUCCUGAGGGCUCGAUACAUACCGCCCGGAGGAGGAGGAAGAAG